rnacentral:rRNA from 1 species
GAUCCUGGCUCAGGACGAACGCUGGCGGCGUGCUUAACACAUGCAAGUCGAACGAGAGCGUAGAGAAAGCUUGCUUUUUCUACAAUCUAGUGGCAAACGGGUGAGUAACGCGUAAACAACCUGCCCUACGGAUGGGGACAACAGCUGGAAACGGCUGCUAAUACCGAAUACGUUCCGAAAGUCGCAUGACUGUCGGGAAGAAAGGAUGGCCUCUAUUUAUAAGCUAUCGCCGGAGGAGGGGGUUUGCGU